UUUUUAGUAUAAAUAUGUCCCAUGUAAUAUCUGGGGCAUGCUUACACUAAAA
rnacentral:pre_miRNA from 1 species